rnacentral:SRP_RNA from 1 species
GCUGGCCAUGGUGGUGCACACCUAUAAUCUGAGCUACUGGGAGGUUGACACUGGUGGGUCUAUUGAGCUCAGGAUUCUCAGCUGCAGUGGGCUAUGUCAGUGGGGUGUCCACACUAAGUUCGGUAUUAACAUGGCAAGUACCAGGUGAGUGGGGUUGUAUAGCCAGCAAGUUGCUUAAGGAGAGGUGAACUGACCUAGUUCAGAAACAGAGCAGGUCAAAGUCCCCAUGCUUAUCACAGUGGGACCCACCUUAUGGGUCCUAGCACUUCCAGUCUGAGUGAGAUAGAUAACCCAUUCUU